rnacentral:RNase_P_RNA from 2 species
UGAGUCGAUCGGGUGACCGCGGUCGAAAGAUCGAGGAAAGUCGGGACUCCACAGAGCAGAGUGCUGGCGCGAGCCAGGUGGGAGCGAUCUCACGGACAGUGCAACAGAGAACAGACCGCCGAUGGCCGGGCAACCGGAUCAGGCAAGGGUGAAACGGUGCGGUAAGAGCGCACCAGCGGCCGAGGCGACUCGACCGGAUCGGUAAACCCCACUCGGAGCAAGGUCGAGCAGAGGAGACGGACGGCUCGUCCGCUUCGGGAAACCGGAGCACUCCUCGGGUAGACCGCACAGAUGGAUGGUCACCCGUCCCGGGAAACCGAGACGACAGAAUCCCGCUUACAGAUCGGCUCACCGU